UCAUGUUGGAAUGGUACUAGGUGAGCUUAACAAGUCCAAGUAUUCAGUAUACAUGGCUUGGCUCGAUCGGCAGGCUGCUUCUUA
rnacentral:rRNA from 1 species